rnacentral:rRNA from 1 species
GACGAACGCUGGCGGCGUGCCUAAUACAUGCAAGUAGAACGCACAGUUUAUACCGUAGCUUGCUACACCAUAGACUGUGAGUUGCGAACGGGUGAGUAACGCGUAGGUAACCUGCCUGGUAGCGGGGGAUAACUAGUGGAAACGAUAGCUAAUACCGCAUAAUAUUGAUUAUUGCAUGAUAAUUAAUUGAAAGGUGCAAUUGCACCACUACCAGAUGGACCUGCGUUGUAUUAGCUAGUAGGUGAGGUAACGGCUCACCUAGGCGACGAUACAUAGCCGACCUGAGAGGGUGAUCGGCCACACUGGGACUGAGACACGGCCCAGACUCCUACGGGAGGCAGCAGUAGGGAAUCUUCGGCAAGGGGCGAAAGUCUGACCGAGCAACGCCGCGUGAGUGAAGAAGGUUUUCGGAUCGUAAAGCUCUGUUGUAAGAGAAGAACGGGUGUGAGAGUGGAAAGUUCACACUGUGACGGUAUCUUACCAGAAAGGGACGGCUAACUACGUG